rfam:Oryza sativa Japonica Group DNA, chromosome 7, cultivar: Nipponbare, complete sequence.
AAUAGAUGACGCCUUUAAUUUUUUUUUCUCACAUGUUUGACCAUUCGUCUUAUUCAAAAAUUUUACGUAAUUAUAAUUUAUUUUGUUAUGAGUUGUUUUAUCACUCAUAGCACUUUAAGUGUGAUUUAUGUCUUAUACAUUUGUAUAAAAUUUUUAAUAAGACGAAUGGUCAAACAUGUGAGAAAAAGUUAACAGCAUCAUCUAUU